UGUAUUGAUUUUAAAGAUUUGAAUAAGACUUUCCCUAAAAAUUUAGUGGCACAUUUUUUAAAAGAUAACGCAUGUGUCAUAAGAUGAGAUCAACGAGAACAAAAUCUCGUGUGGAACAGAAGGGUAAAAGCUCAUUUGAUUCUGAUUUUCGGUACGGAUAUGAACCGUGAAAGUGUGGCCUAAUGACCCUUUAGACCUUCGAAAUUCAAAGCUAGAGGUGUCAGAAAAGUUACCACGGGGAUAACUGGCUUGUGGCAGCCAAGCGUUCAUAGCAACGUUACUUUUUGAUCCUUUGAUGUGGGCUCAUCCUAUCAUUGUGAAGCAGAAUUCACCAAGUGUUGGAUUGUGCAGCUGGGUUUAGACCGUCGUGAAACAUGUUAGUU
rnacentral:ncRNA from 1 species